AUGAGCAUUUGGCAAAAACUAGUUGCAGUCAUUGCUGAAACAGAACACUCAAAUCGGACGAUACAGGCUAAAGGCAUAGAGAUAGCGACGAAGACGCCAGAUCGUGCCAUCAGGAAAAAGAUAUCUAGGUGGUGGCUACAUGUAGACCCUCUCAUGCAACUCACGAUUAAGAAAGACAUUCUUGACAUCAAGCUGAGAGACAGAUCAGUGGCGAACAAAUAUCACAGCGAGAAGUGUGAGAAGAGUGGUCAUGUGGGCCAUAUGAGAAAAUGUUUCAUCUUAGUCAUAGCCAUGAUCCUGUUGAAAGCCACGGGUCACAAGAUGAGCUUUGUUACGCAAGAGAACCAUUAG
rnacentral:rRNA from 1 species